ensembl:lncRNA novel transcript
CACAUGUCAUCGCUUUAAUACUGUGUAAUACUUUCUUUUAAAAUACAGUCUCUUCUGAGGUAGACAGACCACAACUGCAGAGCAUCGUCAGACAGGAGAUAAAUACGUCCAUGUACAACACGCAGCAAAAUGAGGUAGAAAUGGUUACAGCGGGAGGAGAGGAUCCCAGCCCCAGUCUGGGUAGAGGAAGGGGAGAGGCCAGCUCGGAAGUCACCCUCCCCACUCCCUGCCCCUGGAUUCUUUGGUAUGCCUCCCCCCAGCAUUACCAGAGCUGGACUGGCCCUUCCCCUACCUGCCCCAGAGCCCAUGAGGUAGGUGCCACUAGGCUGGGGGCAGUCUCCUUGUGCAAAGCUCCCCAAGCCUGGGGAACAGGAGGAGCCUAGUAGAGAAAGCGGUGGGGACUCCACCUCCCAGAGCUCCCUGCCUCUUGAAGGGAAGGCUGGGAUCCCACCCCAACUUCCCUGACACCCUCCACCCACCCCCACCCCCCAAUACAUACACACCUGAGAGAGAACCCCUCACUCCAUGCUCCCUCCGAGGGUCUUUUGCAGCCUGCGGCUGUGACCCGGCAGCCCACUGCUUCUGAGGCACCAAAGCCCUGUGGGUGGCUGGCUCCAAAGAGGGGGCCAGAAAGCAACGGGGGUGGGGGGGAACAGAGCAGCCUUCUGGUCAGCACUCCUAGGCCAGCACAGGCCCUGGGUGCCAGGGCCCCUGAAAGAUCCCCCCCAGACACCCUCCCAGCCAGGGGGGAGGCAGUAGACUCUAGGAAAUGCACGGGCAGGCAAGGAACUGCACAGGAGGCUGAGAUGGGAGAGAGAAAAAGUGGUGGUGGGGGGGCGUGUCCCCUGCUUUGGACUAAGAUCAGAGUUGUGAAAUGGGCUGGGGGUGGUGGGAGCAAACUGCUAAAGCCUCAUCAAGGGAAAAUUGGUGGGAAGGAGAGAAAUAUGGUUCUUGGAAGGGUUCCAAGCCUAGUGGAAAGUUCAGGCAGGACUGAGACUAAGCCCCCAAGGUCAGAGAAAACACCCCUGCCCAUCUCCCUCACCCUCUCCCAGCCCUGGAGCUCCAGACCUAGGACUCCGGGGGAAUGGGGAAGGCACAUUUCCUCACAGAGCCCCCACAAGUGAGGGAUGCUCACUCCUCCUCAGAGCCUCCAGCAGAGAUGGCUGAGGUCCAGUAGCUGAUUUUGUGGCCAGACUGUCUACCCAGAUGGAAUCCUCCUAGCAUAAGUCACUGGGGACCUCUGCCAAGGCAGGGCCAGGGGACAUGACCUUUCUGGAGACUUUCUGCUUAGGUCACCUUCCCAUUUGGGCCCUCCCACCCUACCUUCUGGGUCUCAGGAAGGAAUUGGGCAAGGGCAUCCUAACUCUGGAUAGCCCUUCACAGAAAACACUCAGCGGAGGGGUUGGGUGGGGCAGGGGGUGGGGAGCAGCAGGAGAGGAAUAAGGCCUCCCUUCUCUCAAACCCCACAGCCCACUCCCCACAUUCAUGCCUAGGCCUCGGCCCUGGGGAGGAAGCCCUUAGGAAUACAUUCUGCUUCUGACCAGGAAUAGCUGGGGUUUCACUGAGGCCUCUGGGUCUUCCUCUCCCCUUCCCCGUAAGUCUCAUUUUUUGAGUGUCUGGGAGAAUUUGGUCCCCUGGAUGGAGUGGGGGGGAGGGGGCAGGUGUGAGGGGCACACAGGAGAGCAGCCAAAGUCUAACAUUCUUUCUGAGGUCAGUUUCUUCCUGAGUUGUCAAAAGAAAAAGAAAAACAGCAAAUUCUACACAUUUUACAAAAAUAAGAAGACUAAAAUAUGAAACAAGCUACAUUUCUGGGAUCUCCCCUCAAAAACAAACAAAAAAUUCCCCUUCUUUGGGGACUUUUUUUCCUUGAUCCCCCUAGACCCUAGGUUUCAGAUGGGUAGAGGGGGAUGGAGAGCUGGGGAGGGAGGGGCAGGAGAGAAACAGGGCCAGCAUGGGGUGGGCAGGGGUGUCAGCGACAAAGCAAAAGGGAGAGAAAACCAAGAGAAUGCAGAGAAUGGGAUGGAGAGAGUGAGGGAGAAGGAGGGUGCCAUUCAGAUAGCGAGGAGACAAAAGCGUUGUGGCAAGAGAGCAGGA